UGGGGAAUUUUGGACAAUGGGCGAAAGCCUGAUCCAGCAAUGCCGCGUGUGUGAAGAAGGCCUUCGGGUUGUAAAGCACUUUUGUCCGGAAAGAAAUCCUUGGCUCUAAUACAGUCGGGGGAUGACGGUACCGGAAGAAUAAGCACCGGCUAACUACGUGCCAGCAGCCGCGGUAAUACGUAGGGUGCAAGCGUUAAUCGGAAUUACUGGGCGUAAAGCGUGCGCAGGCGGUUUGCUAAGACCGAUGUGAAAUCCCCGGGCUCAACCUGGGAACUGCAUUGGUGACUGGCAGGCUAGAGUAUGGCAGAGGGGGGUAGAAUUCCACGUGUAGCAGUGAAAUGCGUAGAGAUGUGGAGGAAUACCGAUGGCGAAGGCAGCCCCCUGGGCCAAUACUGACGCUCAUGCACGAAAGCGUGGGGAGCAAACAGGAUUAGAUACCCUGGUAGUCCACGCCCUAAACGAUGUCAACUAGUUGUUGGGGAUUCAUUCCUUAGUAACGUAGCUAACGCGUGAAGUUGACCGCCUGGGGAGUACGGUCGCAAGAUUAAAACUCAAA
rnacentral:rRNA from 1 species